ACAGAUGCUUGGGCUGGAGUCCUUGCCAGCCCUCAUAGUGUCAGCAGCCUCAGGUGCUGAGGGUCUGGUGAAAGGAACCCCCCUGCACAACUGGCUGCAGUGGUCUAGAAGUGGCUCCAGGCUGCAGGAAGGGAAAGAAGCUGAGGGAAGGCAAUAGCGAUGCCAGCCCCACAAGUGUGCACUCCUGGCAGAGAGAACCUGAAACCAGAGACCCAUUCACAUACUAGCCUUGGGCCACAGAAAGACAGAAUCUCAAAUGGAAAGGCAGGGAGAACAUAGACAGCAGCAUGGAAAGGAAGAGAAUGGAACCAUUAGAAAACAAACGUGUGGGUUCUGGACUCUGUAAAACAUGGGCCUGGCCUGCCUUCCCCCUGGAUUGUAAGCUUCAUAAAGCUGAAGCUGAGAAAACCUGUCAACACAUCUGCAGUAACUGCACGAAUCUUGCAUAGUCCUGUUUCCUUGGACACUGGGAGAGCCUCCGUCAUGCCUGCUCUGACCUGUCAGCAAGUGAUGGGCGAGAGACAGGUUCUGUUCUGUUGGACCCAACCACAAAGGAGAGAAGAAAUGGCCACGCCCAGUCUGCGCACUGGCCUGCCAGCUCGCCCUCCUUACCGCCAGUGAGCCUAGGGACCACGCCCAGAAGGGGAUUUGUUAAAAGAGAGAGGAGAGGAGAGGGGAAGGAGUGAGAAGAAACUUCGAUGUGAGAGA